UUUGCAAUGAUUAGACAUGUUUUUAUUAUUGUCAUCAGUGAUUAUCUCAAUUUUGGCUAAAAGAAUUGACAAAAUAGAGAUAAUAUACUUCAGCAUUCGUCAAAUGACGUCACACGAAAAGUGACAGGUGUCCCGCCCGUAUAUGGUCAACUUCCGGCCCCUCCUUCCUCGGGGGAUUUCCAUAUAUGUCCUUCCGGCCCCUCCUUCCUCGGGGGACUUCCAUGUAUGGUCAACUUCCGUUUCAUGACUUCCUCUUUCGAUUUACCGUAACUGUCCCCCUCCCUCUUUCCCCCUUGACUUACAGUAACGUUACCCCUCCCUUUUUCCCCCUCGAUUUACCGUAAUCGUCCCCUCCCUCUUUCCCCCUCGAUGUACUGUAAGCCUUGACCGUAAACAUCCUGAUUUUGAACAGAUGUCCACAGCCCGCCUGUCUGUUCACCCUCCCUCUUUCCUGUUCGUGACUUCCUGCCUCCCUGAAAACUGUCAGGUCGAGAAAGUUUUCAUCAAACUGUUCCAUCGUCCAAUCAGCGGUUAGGGUUAGGCUUUAGACCCACCCCUCAGCCAAUCAGCUCGUGUUUAAAGCAUUAGAUCCUGCCCCUCCUCGGUUCGUGAUGCGCUUAAAAGAACGCGUCUCAUUCAGUCAGUACUUCCAUCGAUGAGAAGACACCUGCUGUGUUCCAGACCCGUCAGUACUUGCAUCGGCGAUAAGAAGAACCCCCUGCACGACAGCUACAGCAACAGAAGUAAAUUUUAAAGGUUCGUAAAUUUUUAUUGUGUUUUAUUCUGUUUAAUGUAUUUAUUUAGUUUUUACAUGUACUCUGUGUUGUCUGUCAUCAGCGAGAAGACCCGUCGCAGUGUUCCUGCAGCAGCGUUACCCAACACCAGCACCAAACGUAAAGUAAAUUUAAAGCGAAAAGAAGCCCUGCCGUUGUGUUCCAGCAGCCUUGCGCAGCAUCAGCAGCAGAAGCGGAGUUUUUUUUUUUUUUUUUUGCACAAACUAAAUUAACAGAAAAACCGCAAUCAUGUCUAAGAGAAGCAGACCUGGUCUCCUCAGGUCCUGCAGACCUGGACUCCUCAGGUCCCGCAGACAUGGUCUCAUCAGGUCCUGGAGACCUGGUCUUGUCAGGUCCUGCAGACCUGGUCUCCUCAGGUCCCACAGACCUGGUCUCCUCAGGUCCCACAGACCUGGUCUCAUCAGGUCCUGGAUGUUCACAGGCUGGAUGCUUCAGAGGGAGACGUGGACCUGUGCUGUAAAACAUGAAAGCUGGAGGGUGAUAUGUGAGACCGUUAAUAAAAAAGGUUAUUACAGGUGGAUUACCAAGAUCACAGAACCCACACCUCAUGCUGAGAAGUCCUCACUCCAAGUUGGGUCAGAAAACAAAGAAC